CAUGGUUCUGGGGUACCUAGGUAGAGGGUGCAGGUUAAUUAAGGCAACAACGUGUCGACCUGUUCUCCCACUGCUCUAUAUGGCUAUGUUAUACUGCCUCAGAUACUAGCUUUGGCUCACAAAAAACAAAAUUUGAAUAAUUUAGUACAUAUGCACUAUAAAAAAAUUAUCCCACAAUGAAAACAUAAACUUAAAGAUGCCCAGCUUUUUGUGGCAAUUAAGGCAACUUGCCCAAUCGGGCAAGCAAGAUAAAAUGUUAAA